rnacentral:rRNA from 1 species
UACGGAAGGCAGCAGUGGGGAAUAUUGCACAAUGGGCGCAAGCCUGAUGCAGCCAUGCCGCGUGUAUGAAGAAGGCCUUCGGGUUGUAAAGUACUUUCAGUCGUGAGGAAGGUGUUAAGGUUAAUAACCUUAGCAAUUGACGUUAGCGACAGAAGAAGCACCGGCUAACUCCGUGCCAGCAGCCGCGGUAAUACGGAGGGUGCGAGCGUUAAUCGGAAUUACUGGGCGUAAAGGGCACGCAGGCGGUUAAUUAAGUUGGAUGUGAAAUCCCCGGGCUUAACCUGGGAAUGGCAUUCAAGACUGGUUAGCUAGAGUCUUGUAGAGGGGGUUAGAAUUCCAUGUGUAGCGGUGAAAUGCGUAGAGAUGUGGAGGAAUACCGGUGGCGAAGGCGGCCCCUGGACAAAGACUGACGCUCAUGUGCGAAAGCGUGGGGAGCGAAAC